AUGAUGUGGUGUGUGUUGAACAAUUGUGGUCAAGCUCAGAAAUAUAUCGAAAUGUUCAGAGAUGAGUUAAAUAGAAAACGGGUGCUAAACAUUGAGAAAGAGCUUCAGAAAGAAUUCCAGACAUGGUUCAAGAACUAUAUCAUGAGGUUGCGGGAUGAACAUAGCGAAGAAAUAGAUGAAGAUCUCUUUUCCUUGGCAUGUGAACCAGAUCGGAGAGUCAGAAAAUACUCACCGUGCAUAGUGAAUGGUAUUAGAUAUAGCACUGUCGACCGUGAUAGCAACAAGAGAACACAGAACAGUGGAGUCAUGGCUGAAGGUGAACAUGCCAGUAAGGUCAUAGAUUUUUAUGGAACCUUGAAAGAGAUCAUCCAGUUGGACUAUAACUCCAACGAUAACUUGGACGGCAGGUCAGUUAUUUUGUUUAAAUGUGACUGGUUUAAACUUGAUGGAAAGAAGGAGCUAAAAAAUGACCGGUUUUUCAAAAGCAUCAAUGUUGAAAGUUUAUGGUACAAGGAUGAUUCUCUUAUUCUGGCUACUCAGGCAAGAAAAAUCUUUUAUUUGCCAGACACGAAGUAUGGGAAAAAUUGGCAAGUUGUGCAAACAUUUGACCAUAGGCAUCUCUUUAAUAUUAGUGAAACUGAGGGUGCACCUUUUACUGGUCUUGCAUAUCAAGAGGAGGAGUGUUGUGAUGAGGAAGGUAUGAGAACGUCGGUUUCUGAACAUACAUCUGAGAAGCCUUUGCAUAGAGACAAUGAGCAAGGCAUUAUUUUUGAAGCUGAUGUAAUUGCACGCUUGAUGAAAGAAAAGAACACAGAAGUGUAUGAAGGUGGCAAUGAAGAUGAAGAUGAUACAGGAAUGGAGUAUUGCAGCAAAGACGAAGGAGGCGGCAUGAUGGAUGUUGACAGCGAUGAUGAGUAG
rnacentral:rRNA from 1 species